rnacentral:rRNA from 1 species
GCAGUUCGAACGAGAAAGUGGAGCAACCAUGAGUAAAGUGGCGCACGGGUGAGUAACACGUGACUAACCUACCCUGGAGUGGGGGAUAACUGAGGGAAACCUUAGCUAAUACCGCAUAAUACCCACGGGUCAAAGGAGCAAUUCGCUCUGGGAGGGGGUCGCGGCCGAUUAGUUAGUUGGCGGGGUAACGGCCCACCAAGACGAUGAUCGGUAUCCGGCCUGAGAGGGCGCACGGACACACUGGAACUGAAACACGGUCCAGACUCCUACGGGAGGCAGCAGUGGGGAAUUUUGCGCAAUGGGGGAAACCCUGACGCAGCAACGCCGCGUGGAGGAUGAAGUCCCUCGGGACGUAAACUCCUUUCGAUCGGGACGAUAAUGACGGUACCGGAAGAAGAAGCCCCGGCUAACUUCGUGCCAGCAGCCGCGGUAAUACGAGGGGGGCAAGCGUUGUUCGGAAUUAUUGGGCGUAAAGGGUGCGUAGGCGGUUUGGUAAGUCUUAUGUGAAAUCUUCGGGCUCAACUCGAAGUCUGCAUGAGAAACUGCCGGGCUUGAGUGUGGGAGAGGUGAGUGGAAUUUCCGGUGUAGCGGUGAAAUGCGUAGAUAUCGGAAGGAACACCUGUGGCGAAAGCGGCUCACUGGACCAUAACUGACGCUGAUGCACGAAAGCUAGGGGAGCAAACAGGAUUAGAUACCCUGGUAGUCCUAGCCCUAAACGAUGAUCGCUUGGUGUGACGGGUACCCAAUCCC